rnacentral:rRNA from 1 species
UACGUAGGGGGCAAGCGUUGUCCGGAAUUAUUGGGCGUAAAGCGCGUGUAGGCGGUCCGGUUAGUCGGCUGUGAAAGUCAAGGGCUCAACCCUUGAAUGCCGGUCGAUACUGCCGGACUAGAGUCCGGAAGAGGCAAGUGGAAUUCCCGGUGUAGCGGUGAAAUGCGUAGAGAUCGGGAGGAAUACCUGUGGCGAAGGCGGCCUACUGGGCCGGACCUGACGCUGAGA